rnacentral:rRNA from 1 species
UAAUACGAAGGGUGCAAGCGUUGUUCGGAUUUAUUGGGCGUAAAGCGCGCGUAGGCGGACCUGCAAGUCAGAUGUGAAAUCUCGGGGCUCAACCCCGAAACUGCGUCUGAAACUACAGGUCUAGAAUCUUGGAGGGGGAAGGGGAAUUUCGCAUGUAGGGGUAAAAUCCGUAGAGAUGCGAAGGAACACCAGAGGCGAAGGCGCCUUCCUGGACAAGUAUUGACGCUGAGGCGCGAAAGCGUGGGGAUCAAACAGG